AGAGUUUGAUCCUGGCUCAGGAUGAACGCUAGCGGCAGGCUUAAUACAUGCAAGUCGAACGGCAGCACGUGUAGCAAUACAUGGUGGCGAGUGGCGCACGGGUGCGUAACACGUAUGUAACCUACCUCUAACAGUGGCAUAACAAUGAGAAAUUAUUGCUAAUUCCGCAUGUGGUUAAUUUGAGGCAUCUUAGAUUAACUAAAGAUUUAUCGGUUAGAGCUGGGCAUGCGUCCCAUUAGCUAGUUGGUGAGGUAACGGCUCACCAAGGCCUCGAUGGGUAGGGGCUCUGAGAGGAUUGUCCCCCACACUGGUACUGAGACACGGACCAGACUCCUACGGGAGGCAGCAGUAAGGAAUAUUGGGCAAUGGACGCAAGUCUGACCCAGCCAUGCCGCGUGAAGGAAGACGGCCCUAUGGGUUGUAAACUUCUUUUCUCAGGGGGUAAACUCCGGAACGUGUUCCGGACUGAAAGUACCUGAGGAAUAAGCAUCGGCUAACUCCGUGCCAGCAGCCGCGGUAAUACGGAGGAUGCGAGCGUUAUCCGGAUUCAUUGGGUUUAAAGGGUGCGCAGGCGGAUAUAUAAGUCGGAGGUGAAAUUCUGAUGCUCAACAUCAGCCGUGCCUUCGAUACUGUAUAUCUAGAGUCAAGUUGGAGUAGGCGGAAUGUGUUGUGUAGCGGUGAAAUGCUUAGAUAUAACACAGAACACCGAUCGCGAAGGCAGCUUACUAAACUUUGACUGACGCUCAUGCACGAAAGCGUGGGGAUCAAACAGGAUUAGAUACCCUGGUAGUCCACGCUGUAAACGAUGAUUACUCGCUGUUGGCGAUACACAGUCAGUGGCUAAGCGAAAGUGAUAAGUAAUCCACCUGGGGAGUACGACGGCAACGUUGAAACUCAAAGGAAUUGACGGGGGCCCGCACAAGCGGAGGAGCAUGU
rnacentral:rRNA from 1 species